CGUGAACUGUUGGAGGCCAACCAGAUUAAGAAUAGAGGGGAUGCCUGUGUCAGCAUGCCUGUGUCUGAAUAUUUACACAAAUGAAUGCAUGUUUAUAGAUAAGUUUUAGAUUUUGGCUAAUCUUAUGAUUCCCUUCAUCUUCUGUGUUCUCGCGCGUGCACCUUCACACAAGCAAUGCUUCUGUUUUUUUCUUCCCCUUCUCCCCAUGGCUAUAUAUUCAGCUGCUUUUGACCUCAAUAAACAGUUGCAAGUAGCACCUUGUCCUGUCUUUGUUCUUUCUUACAGUGUUGUCUCUGUUGGCGCUUCAUCUUCUGAAAGCCCUUCACCAAGUAGCCCCACAACGUGUUCUACUGGAAAACUACCACUAGACAGUGAUCUUCCAUUUCUUGACCUCAUUGUUUUCUUUGGAAGGACGCAAGCAUUGCAAGGAGCCAUUUGACCUGCCGCCACACUAAUAUUGUAUUUGGCAAAGCCGAAAGCCUCUGCAAGCAGCCAGUCAUUCCAAGUCUCAACCAAUCCUUCCUCCAGUCAGCUAAUUUCUAGUGUCCAUGCGGAGAGGACUUGCGCAAGAGUGGACACUGGACACUAAAAAGGCGACAAGGACAGACGUAAACUUCCAACCGGUGUUCAUUACAAAAAGGUAUGUAUAUGUACUCUUGCACACUUGAUCAUAAUCUGUUACAAUCGUGCAAGUCAACAUGGCCAUCACAAAUAAACGAGCGCACCAAGGCCUAAGGCGGCUUCCUGCAUACAGACCCCAGAUAAUCAAAUUCUUUAACAGUCAGUGCUAUAGGGAUGGCUUGCUAACGCAGUUGCAUUCUACAAUAGCCGCUGCCUCAAUGAUGAGUCUAGUGUUUUCUUUCACACUGCUUGCUAUUAUUUCUGUUUUUUCAAACAGCCGAUGACAUUUGCAUUGGGAGCAAUGGAUUCCAAAGAAACCUUCUUUCCCUUUUUGUACUUUCCGAUUAUGUUCCUGUAGUCUCAAGUUUAGGGAACUUCCCAUUUGUCC